rnacentral:lncRNA from 1 species
CAACAUAUGUUGGCAAAACCUAAACCAAAGAAUAUCAUGACUCACUAAUAUCAUUGCCAAAUAUGACUCACAACUUGAUUUCAAACACAAAGGUUAACCCAAACUUAAAUUUGGAUGUGUCAAAAGUAGUGAGUGAAAGUAGUGAGUCAUGAUAUUCUUUGGUUUAGGUUUUGCCAACAUAUGUUGUAGUAGUGAGUGAAAGUAGUGAGUGAAAGUAGUGAGUCAUGAUAUUCUUUGGUUUAGGUUUUGCCAACAUAUGUUGUAGUAGUGAGUGAAAGUAGUGAGUGAAAGUAGUGAGUUGGUUCACAUGAAGCUAAACAACAAAACACUUUCAGAAAUGCACCCGUGACUUGGUUCACAUGUCCUACUGCUUAACCUG